UACAAUGCAUCCUUUUGGAAAGUUUUGCACGGUCUUUAUUUGGAUUAGCUGGUGCUGGACAUGGGAUUUUCUCAAAGAAACUGUGGAUAUAUCACACUGUUCAGCAUUAGCAGUUAUUUGGAGCACUUGUACUGAGACACUCCACAAACUGUUGGAAUCGAGAAGAAAUUAACGCCAUAUGUAAAGGAUGGUGCCUGUAACUGUAUACCAAACAUCAGGAUGGCUGAAACAACAUAUUUCAUUCUCAAGGCAGAUUCCAUAACCCCUCCCUGUUCAGCAGAGCUAUGAAGGAAAUGAUCAGCUUUAUCUCUGGACAAUUAGGUUUCCAAUUAGACAAGAGACUCCAUGCUUUCUGCGGGAUCCGAUUCAUCACUGGCCAUCACAGCACCGUUUUUGUCCAGCGUCAUGGGACCAUUUCCAUUCUCCUUAGUGCUGACCAAGCUCAGCAUUGCCUUAUAAAGAAACUGGUACUGCUCCUGGAAAAGAAAGACAAGUUAUCUCAAUGUUUUCGUUGUGUGCAGGUGAGUGGCACUUACAUGUGGCAUUUUUAUGGAAGGUCAUGGAUAUUUGUUACUAGAAACAUACAUAUAUCAGAGAAAAAUACUUUGAGAGUAAUUGCCUGUGUUAAUCUAGCUUAACAUUAUCACCC
rnacentral:lncRNA from 1 species